GCAGUAGCCGCGGUAAUACAGAGGGUGCGAGCGUUAAUCGGAUUUACUGGGCGUAAAGCGUGCGUAGGCGGCUAAUUGAGUCGGAUGUGAAAUCCCCGAGCUUAACUUGGGAAUUGCAUUCGAUACUGGUUAGCUAGAGUGUGGGAGAGGAUGGUAGAAUUCCAGGUGUAGCGGUGAAAUGCGUAGAGAUCUGGAGGAAUACCGAUGGCGAAGGCAGCCAUCUGGCCUAACACUGACGCUGAGGUACGAAAGCAUGGGGAGCAAACAGGAUUAGAUACCCCCGUAGUCCCUGUCUCUUAUAC
rnacentral:rRNA from 1 species